AGAGUGCUCUCCCGGCUGAGAAGAAGGAUGACCAGAAAGCUGUGGAUACACCAUUGAUAAAGUCGAUUGAGGGGGUUCCAGAGUUGAAGGCUUACUUGGGAGCAAGAUUUUCUCUCAAGGCUGGAAUGAAACCUCAUGAGCUUGUGUUUUAGAUAAGGGAUUUGGUUUUUUCUUAUUAUUUUUUAAAUUAUCACCUUGUUUUCUGUUCAUCUGAACUUGGUAUGACUUGUAAUAGUUGCCUAAUCCCAAAUUUUGAUUCUAAAU
rnacentral:misc_RNA from 1 species